AAUGGAAGAAUGAAAGAAUAUUUCUGCGCUUAGCCCGGCUCUCCCUCAGGAAGACACCAUUACAACAGUAACAGAGGAUUAAUUAGAGCUCGUCCCCAUAGAGGCGUUCGAGGAGCUGGGCCCGGUCAAAGGGGAAGCAUUAACAGCACCGGGUGCAGGUAACCCAUGCAGAGCGCAAAGCAGGAAGCAGGAAGUGGAUGUGGAGUGGGGAGGAGUGGGAAAGAAAAAGAGAAAAACAAGACCACGGAGCCCCAGCAGACGGGAAUACCCCUGAUCUUUGGACGCUUGGCUACACCUGGACACGGACUACAGAAAUGCACUGAUUACGUAUCUCAGAAAGGAAAAGGAAAAGGAACAUAAUCAUAUCAGAGAUGUGUGUGUUGGAGUUGGAGUUGUCGCUCUCGGUGUGUUAUGGCCACGGGGCCCCUGUGCUGGGUGCAGCGCUAGUAUGCACUUCCUCUCCUGCUGCAGACUGGCACAUGCGACUAUCUCUCAAAGCGAUGGGGACUGGAGAUAACUUCAGAGGAGCUCUAUCAGCACGGGAGCAGAUGUCUACCCCUGCCACGGUGUCUUAAUAACCCUGCCACAGCUAAGCUAUGACAUGUCACACUGCUCAGCAAUGUACAGAGUGUGUGUGUGUGUGUGUGUGUGUGUGUGUUUGUGUGUGUGUGUGUGAACUCAGAUGCACACAGGCCAUCAUCUAUCUAUGUAUCUAACCCCUUUUUUUCUUUCUUUAUCACCGUAUUAAGGAUUUUCAUAUACGGGAUAGGAAAAUAAAAUUAUUGUGGUUUAAAAGUUGUAAAGAAUAACACAAAGUUGUAAAGAAUUUGAUCAUCUGAGAUAUUUCUAAGCUUGUGAAGUUUUUUUCUCUGACUUGAAGUUUAUGAGAAAAUCUAAAAAACAAUCUCUCUCUCUCUCUCGCUCUCUCUCUCUCUCUCUCUCUAUAGACACACACACACACGCACAUAUAUACUGUAUGUAUAUAUAUAUUCUUUACAUGCACAUGAAUGUAAUAUGGAGUUGUCCCGCCCUUUGCUUUAACUCUUCUGGGAAGGCUUUCCACAAGGUUUAGGAGUGUGUUUAUUUUUGACCGUUCCUCUAGAAACGCAUUUGUGAGGUCAGGCACUGAUGUGGGAUGAGAAGGCCUGGCUCCCAGUCUCCGUUCUAAUUCAUACCAAAGGUGUUCUAUGUGGUUGAGGUCAGGACUCUGUACAGGCCAGUCAAGCAAACUUGCUCAUUCAUGUCUUUAUGGACCUUGCUUUGUGCACUGAUGUGCAGUCAUGUUGGAACAGGAAGGGGUUUGUAAGUCUCUGUUUAUAAGUAAGGAACAGUUUUAAGUAAGGAUUAAGACUCUGGCUCAUCCAGGAAAAAUAAUCAACAAGAUGAAGUCACAAUGAAGUUGGUUAGUUUUCGAUAACAGCAUCUUGAAGUGUUUUAUUUCUGUUAUACACUUAAAUAUGUCUUUGUAGCUUUUAUCCAUUUAUAGUUACACUUAAUAUUGUGGAAGAAGUUCCUGAUGUCAUUUAUUUUAUCCAGUUUAUUAUUAUUCCUUUACCUCACUUUUUGUCUAUGGCUUAAAGUUGAUGGGAAACAAAUGCAUCUUGUCAUGUUAGCAAGAAAUCAUCAAAAUAAAAUAAAAUAAAAUAUGAUUAAAAAAACAGAUUAGCAAAAUUAUUAUUAUUAUUAUUAUUAUUAUUAUUAUUAUUAUUAUUAUUAAAUAUAUUGUAAUGUACUAUUUCUUUAUUUAAUUCUUAAGUGUUAGGUGUAAAUGUCCUUUCCUGCUAACUAAAUUCCGUCAUAUUUUCUCCAAUUACAUUAUAGCCUCUCUCUUAUCUCUUUUACAAAAUACUGACACUGAAGACUCCUUCCAUAAACGAUAAAUAAACAUUCACUUACUGAAAACGUCUUCGGUUGAUUCCUUCCUCAUUUGAUUCAGAGGUUGUUGGUGGAGAAAAAAAUUCUGGAAUCAAGAAAGAGAGAGAGAAAUAAAGAGAGAGAGAGAGAGAGAGAGAGAGAGAGAGAGAGAGAGAGAAAUGAAUAAAAGGUUUAAGUCGGUAAAGAUUUAACGGAGCCUUCAUUCAAAAUUAUUUAAAGAAAGGAUUCAUAAGAAUCAGUAUAAAGUAAAAAAGUCGACUCUUUAUUUUGUUUUUUGUUCAUCUCUGUUUCAUCUCUUGUUAAGUUUUUAUAUAUUUUUUUGUAAUUAAAUUAUUUAUCUUGUAACUGUACUCAAGCUUUGUUAAGCAGCUGAUUUCCAGGACGACGUUGUCGACUGGUCAGCAGCUGGUGUUGGUGUUGAUUUGUUCCCGGUCUCCUCGCUCUGGUCUUCCUGGGAGGCGUCUGACUUUCAGAGAACAGAAGCAAGCUUAGGGGGAGGAAAAAAAAAAUCAAUAACACAUGAUUUAUUGAUCACUAAAAAUGCUGCUCAUUAGCCCCCUGAGUAGCCGUGUGCAUUUAACAGAUGACAAAAUGUCAGCAGUGAAAGUGCCAUGGGUGCUGUCACACACCUCAACCCACUGCUGCACAGGGCACUGAGCCGUCCAGCCGCCAGCCGGGGACCAGACGCCCGAGCAGAGACCUUUACGUUACAUCAAGUAAGGAAUAAAACAGGAUGUGAAAAAAAUAAAUCAGCUCCAUUUGAUUACAGUAGAGUAAAAAUAUAUAUAAUUAAAAAUAUUUAAAUACGGUACAUUUUAUCCAUUUCUAGUUAAAUUUCAUGAGACAAAACUGUCUGAAUAUUUAUGAGCUUAAAAAAUGUCAGAAAUACAAUACAAACAAGACCAUAUACUGAAUUUGUCUUGAAUUGUGAUGACUGAAAUAAUUUCCUAACAUGUGAAGAUUUCAUGCUUUUCUGGAAGGAAUGAAACAUUUGGGGAUGUGAUGCUCUAGGAAAAUAAUCAAGCACUUGGUGUGGAAUUUCCAGGAUUAGUCUAAACUGCAGUUUUUUUCUUUAUUAUGGAAUUAUAUAAACAUUCUUUGUAUCUAUUUACUUUUUAUCCAUUUAAAGUUGCUAGAAAACUAUCUAGGUCCCGCCUUCGCCUAUGUUACAGUCAUUCAAAACAAGAACCAAAACAAAAAACAAUAAAACAAAAAACAGUAUUUGCUGACAUGGGAGACUCCUUCCAAAAAAAACAAAAGUUCUUGAGAAAAAAUUUUUUAAUUGUUUAAAUAAGUAUUUUUAAAUCUGUUUUCUUAUUAACCGAAUCCUUGUUAAUCAGCACCUUCUGGCUAAA